rnacentral:rRNA from 1 species
UGGGGAAUAUUGGACAAUGGGCGAAAGCCUGAUCCAGCCAUGCCGCGUGUGUGAAGAAGGUCUUCGGAUUGUAAAGCACUUUAAGUUGGGAGGAAGGGCAGUAAAUUAAUACUUUGCUGUUUUGACGUUACCGACAGAAUAAGCACCGGCUAACUCUGUGCCAGCAGCCGCGGUAAUACAGAGGGUGCAAGCGUUAAUCGGAAUUACUGGGCGUAAAGCGCGCGUAGGUGGUACGUUAAGUUGGAUGUGAAAUCCCCGGGCUCAACCUGGGAACUGCAUUCAAAACUGACUGACUAGAGUAUGGUAGAGGGUGGUGGAAUUUCCUGUGUAGCGGUGAAAUGCGUAGAUAUAGGAAGGAACACCAGUGGCGAAGGCGACCACCUGGACUAAUACUGACACUGAGGUGCGAAAGCGUGGGGAGCAAACA